GAAACUACGCCUAUAUGAAGUCGGAAUUGCUAGUAAUCGCAGAUCAGCAUGCUGCGGUGAAUACGUUCCCGGGCCUUGUACACACCGCCCGUCACACCAUGAGAGUCGAUAACACCCGAAGCCUGUAGUCUAACCAUAAGGGGGGACGCAGUCGAAGGUGGGAUUGAUAAUUAGGGUGAAGUCGUAACAAGGUACC
rnacentral:rRNA from 1 species